rnacentral:rRNA from 1 species
UACGUAUAAGACUAGUGUUAUUCAUCUUUAGUAGGUUUAAAGGGUACCUAGACGGUAUAAUUAGUCUUAAAAGGAUACGAUUAUACUAGAGUUAUACAUGAGGAGGGGAGUAUUUGUGGAGUAGAGUUGAAAUUCUUUGAUACCAUAAGGACUGGUAACGGCGAAAGCAACCUUUUAUCUAAUAACUGACGUUGAGGGACGAA